UGAAUUAUUCCCUCCAGCCCACCAACUUCUCCAUCCCUAGGGAAUCACUAAACAACUUUGCGCCACUACAGAAUUAUGUGAGUCAUUUUGGCUUCACCAUAUGCUCUUGCCAUGAUGUGCUGCCUCACCCCAGGCUCAGAAGAAUGGACCAAGUAAUAAGUAAAACCUCCAAAGCUCUGACAUAUGAGGAUCAGAGUAAAAAUGUUCCCCCAAAGUAGAGACCUCUUCUUGUCUUUUAAACUUU